rnacentral:rRNA from 1 species
AGGGCGGGACGAGGUCUUGGGCAGGUGCAAGUAGGUUUGGUUUGCGACUCGGACUUGGUACUUCGUAGUAGGAGUAGUGCAGAGAGUGGAGUCAGCGUCUUGUCAGGCGGUGCGCUUGUGGUGUCGGGUUUGGAGCGCUUGGUUUGGGACGUGUCGUCUACCGCGGGCACCGCCCGUCGUCGAAGAAAGUCCUUCGCGCCGAGGGCCUCGUCGCCCGGCAGCUCCCGCAGCGGAAGGGGCGCCACGAGCAGGGCUGGCGGCCCGGGGGCCCCGGCCCUCUCCCCUCGGAGCUGCUCAAGGACCGGCGGCACGCCAGCCUCGCCCGCAGGGCCCACCUCGGCGACGACGCCCUCCGUCCCCGCCACGACGACGCCCCCAAGGGGCGCGCCUGCCGCCGCCUGAAGCUGCGGCGGCACCUCCGCAAGCCCAUGCUCCUCGACGGCAUGCAGCCGCCGCGCCGCGGGGCCUGGUUGCACCACCCCGCCCACAAGUGGCGGUUGCUCAGCGGCGGGCUGGUCUUCUAGGGGAAGGUGGUACUCUACCGCGUCCAAGGCUGAAAAGGCCGUUUUGACAAGAAGAAGACACUCCAUCUUGGUUUUUCACCACCUCUCUGUGGUUAUCACGACUCGGUGAUACACAUAUUCUCCUACUUCCUUUUGAAGGGACUUAAACACCUCUUUAACCUCUUCGUACCGGACUAUAUGUGUUCCCAUAACCCUCUCCCACUGCUGGGUAGAAGAGGUUAGCCGGCACCUACCGUUAGAUGUAAAGAGUGAUUUCUAUUUAAGCAACGGCUCCUUUCCCGACGCUUCGAACCCUACUUCGACCUUACCUGGGUGCUGCCCCAAUUUUGUCACUACCCAGGUUAUGGUCGUCAGUUCACCCUGCUCUCGGCUCCCUCCUUCUAUACCAAGUUGUCGUACCAGCGGCGGAUGUGUCCCACCUUCCUGCGGGCGUUACUAGGUCAAUUCCGGCAGUGGAAGCCGCUGCCGAGCGGGAACGGGCGGCUACAGUAUCUCCUUACACCGUUCUAGGAUCUUCUUCUUACGCAGCGCCAAGGUACCGUCGUUCCACUGUAGGAAGAGUAGCUGUUGACCCGCCACGACGUGAGUGCCGCCAGGAAACUCGGGGGUGCCGCGCAUGAACGAAGAGAGACAUUUAUCGUACAUUUACAAGCUGUAAUCUCUACUCCGAAACGAGCCCUAACUAGGCGUGAAGACGCCCAACAUACAUGGUACAUGCACUAGCCUAAACGUGUAUGUUUUGACCUUAUUAAAACACGUCGUCCUGUCCUUCUUAGUAACACAACAAAAACGAACAAACGUUGGACAUUGUAUACUUCAGUACUUGGAACGUUAGUUGUUUAGACGCCAAAAUGUACGUAGUGAAGUUGUCGUUGUACACCGUGAAAAC